GACAGAGGUGCCGAGCGUUAGGCGGAAUCACUGGGCUUAAAGCGCGUGUAGGCGGGUCCGUAAGUGCCUUGUGAAAUCCCACGGCUCAACCGUGGAACUGCUGGGCAUACUGCGGGUCUUGGGUCAUCUAGGGGCGAGCGGAACAAGCGGUGGAGCGGUGAAAUGCGUAGAUAUCGCUUGGAACGCCAAUGGUGAAAACAGCUCGCUGGGGAUGUGCCGACGCUGAGACGCGAAAGCCAGGGGAGCGAACGGG
rnacentral:rRNA from 1 species